rnacentral:rRNA from 1 species
GGAGUUAGCCGGUGCUUCUUCUGCGAGUAACGUCACAGAUGUAAGGUAUUAACUUACACCCUUUCCUCCUAGCUGAAAGUGCUUUACAACCCGAAGGCCUUCUUCACACACGCGGCAUGGCUGCAUCAGGGUUUCCCCCAUUGUGCAAUAUUCCCCACUGCUGCCUCCCGUAGGAGUCUGGGCCGUGUCUCAGUCCCAGUGUGGCUGAUCAUCCUCUCAGACCAGCUAGGGAUCGUCGCCUAGGUGAGCCUUUACCUCACCUACUAGCUAAUCCCACCUGGGCUUAUCCAUCAGCGCAAGGCCCGAAGGUCCCCUGCUUUCCCCCGUAGGGCGUAUGCGGUAUUAGCAGUCGUUUCCAACUGUUAUCCCCCACAAAUGGGCAAAUUCCCAGGCAUUACUCACCCGUCCGCCGCUCGUCAUCUUCAAAAGCAAGCUUUUGAAAUGUUACCGCUCGACUUGCAUGUGUUAGGCCUGCCGCCAGCGUUCAAUCUGAGCCAGGAUCAAACUCUGA